AUGCUCACUUCGGCAGCAUGUAGACUCAAAUUAGAACCAUACUGAUAUUAGCAUGCCUGCAGUGUAAGGACUACAUGCAAAUUCAUGAGGUAUUCCAUAAAAAC
ensembl:snRNA U6 U6 spliceosomal RNA